rnacentral:sRNA from 1 species
CCAGAUUCCCCAUGGGGGAGGAUGAGAAGCUUCGACCUCGAAGGUUUGACCCGAAGGGUGAGUCGCAACGCGACGAAAAAUCUUUCCCCCACCACCA